GACGAACGCUGGCGGCGUGCUUAACACAUGCAAGUCGAACGGAAAGGCCCUGCUUUUGUGGGGUGCUCGAGUGGCGAACGGGUGAGUAACACGUGAGUAACCUGCCCUUGACUUUGGGAUAACUUCAGGAAACUGGGGCUAAUACCGGAUAGUAGCUCCUGCUGCAUGGUGGGUGUUGGAAAGUUUCGGCGGUUGGGGAUGGACUCGCGGCUUAUCAGCUUGUUGGUGGGGUAGUGGCUUACCAAGGCUUUGACGGGUAGCCGGCCUGAGAGGGUGACCGGCCACAUUGGGACUGAGAUACGGCCCAGACUCAUACGGGAGGCAGCAGUGGGGAAUAUUGCACAAUGGGCGGAAGCCUGAUGCAGCAACGCCGCGUGCGGGAUGACGGCCUUCGGGUUGUAAACCGCUUUCGCCUGUGACGAAGCGUGAGUGACGGUAAUGGGUAAAGAAGCACCGGCUAACUACGUG
rnacentral:rRNA from 1 species